GACGAACGCUGGCGGCGUGCUUAACACAUGCAAGUCGAACGGAAAGGCCCUGCUUUUCUGGGGUGCUCGAGUGGCGAACGGGUGAGUAACACGUGAGUAACCUGCCCUUGACUUUGGGAUAACUUCAGGAAACUGGGGCUAAUACCGGAUAGGAGCUCCUGCUGCAUGGUGGGGGUUGGAAAGUUUCGGCGGUUGGGGAUGGACUCGCGGCUUAUCAGCUUGUUGGUGGGGUAGUGGCUUACCAAGGCUUUGACGGGUAGCCGGCCUGAGAGGGUGACCGGCCACAUUGGGACUGAGAUACGGCCCAGACUCCUACGGGAGGCAGCAGUGGGGAAUAUUGCACAAUGGGCGGAAGCCUGAUGCAGCAACGCCGCGUGCGGGAUGACGGCCUUCGGGUUGUAAACCGCCUUCGCCUGUGACGAAGCGUGAGUGACGGUAAUGGGUAAAGAAGCACCGGCUAACUACGUG
rnacentral:rRNA from 1 species